CUAUUCUAUUAAAAGUGAAGUACAAAUGAGAAAUAACCCAGAUUUUUUCUUAAUAAUUACUAAGUUGUGCCACUGGAAUUAACGUUAAACCUAAUGUCUUAAUUCAUUAAGGUUGUUUUAGUCAUUUGCUUACAUUAACCUACUUUUUUCUUAUUUGAUUGGUUUAAUAUUAACCUUUUUGGCGACAAAAAGUGAUGAACGCCGGGGACAAUGACGAAGGUGUAAAGUUCAUCUUAACGACAUUGUUUUGUUUAUCACCGGACGGUGGAAAGCUCAUUGGAGUUGCCUAGCAAGAGGCAGAGCGAGAAAGCUUCCUGUAUUAUUUCACAUCAGAGCUCCAUAGACCUCACUUUGAUCUUCUCUGUAACACUCCCUGGCUUAUACAUUCAUCUCUCACUCUUAAACUUCUUUCAAUUGAUUAUUCUCUGUAUAGAUCUACGAUUUCAUAGUGAUUUUGCUUUUUUCAAUAAGAGGUUUAGGCUCAAAGGACGUUUGUAUCCACCUAUGUCGUCUGAGGAAGAAGAAGUCCAUGGAAAGGACAAUUCUUAGAAGAUGGCUGUAAAAAACAUAUAAAUGGAUUUAUAAGGAUUAUAUGAAAGGAGAAUAGGAUUUCCAGAUUUGACCUUUUUGUUAACUCAUAAUUGGUAAGAAAUGAGGCUUGGUUCCCCUGGAGAGAAGGGAAGGGGUGACUUCAAUCAUGUCCUAACCGACGAGUAAGCCAAUGCUCCAUCAUUUAAAAUAAAAUUUGUGUUAGGAGGAUGUUGUCAUUUUCUCAUCUGAGUAUAAUAAAACCUAGACAGUGAUAGUAUUGUGGAGCUCAGUUAAAAGAACAGUAAUCAUACGUUGUUUUGUGGGUUGUAUUGUGUUAUAUAAGUUUUCUAGAGAUUUUGGCAUAUAUCUUGUGUGUGGUUUGGUUGACGCCAAUGCUUAUGGCUUCUUUUUAAGAAGGAUCAAAGUCUGAUAUACUGUGCUAAAAUAAUAAACUCAGAAUUAUUGACUAUC